UGCAUAGUGGUGCAGCUGGUAGCACUGUUGCCUUGCCUAGCAAGAAGGUCCUGGGUUCGACUCCCAGCCAGGUGAACAUGCAA